UACGGAGGAUCCAAGCGUUAUCCGGAUUCAUUGGGUUUAAAGGGUGCGUAGGCGGAAUGAUAAGUCAGUGGUGAAAUCCUGCAGCUUAACUGCAGAACUGCCAUUGAUACUGUCAAUCUUGAGUACAUUUGAUGUGGGCGGAAUGUGUCAUGUAGCGGUGAAAUGCUUAGAUAUGACACAGAACACCGAUUGCGAAGGCAGCUCACAAAAACUGUAACUGACGCUGAGGCACGAAAGCGUGGGUAUCAAACAGG
rnacentral:rRNA from 1 species